AACGAACGCUGGCGGCAGGCCUAACACAUGCAAGUCGAACGUGAAGCCGACCUUCGGGUGGUGGAAAGUGGCAGACGGGUGAGUAACGCGUGGGAACGUACCCUUUGGUUCGGAACAACUCCGGGAAACUGGAGCUAAUACCGGAUGAGCCCUUACGGGGAAAGAUUUAUCGCCGAAGGAUCGGCCCGGCGUACGGAUUAGCUUGUUGGUGGGGUAAUGGCCGUACCCAAGGCGACGAUCCGUAGCUGGUCGUGAGA
rnacentral:rRNA from 1 species